UACGUAGGUGGCAAGCGUUGUCCGGAUUUACUGGGCGUAAAGGGCGUGCAGGCGGUCUGUUAAGUCUAGGGUGAAAGCUCCUGGCUCAACUGGGAGAGGUCCUUGGAUGCUGGCGGACUUGAGGGAGGCAGAGGAAAGUGGAAUUCCCAGUGUAGAGGUGAAAUUCGUAGAUAUCAGGAGGAACACCGAUGGCGAAGGCAGGUCUCUGGGCUGACACUGACGCUCAUGCACGAAAGCGUGGGGAGCAAACAGG
rnacentral:rRNA from 1 species